rnacentral:rRNA from 1 species
UACGUAGGGGGCGAGCGUUGUCCGGAAUCAUUGGGCGUAAAGCGCGUGUAGGCGGCUCGGUAAGUCUGCUGUGAAAGUCCAGGGCUCAACCCUGGAAUGCCGGUGGAUACUGUCGAGCUUGAGUCCGGAAGAGGCGAGUGGAAUUCCUGGUGUAGCGGUGAAAUGCGCAGAUAUCAGGAGGAACACCAAUGGCGAAGGCAGCUCGCUGGGACGUGACUGACGCUGAGACGCGAAGGCGUGGGGAGCGAACAGG